GGGAAGGAUCGGCACAGUGCUGGCCGGCGGGAUGUAUGAGCGGAGUAUUGACGUCUUGUGGGGCCGGGCCUGUGUCCUGGGGCCUCUUCGGGAUCCUCUGGGCAUUGCUUUGCUUGAAUCUAUAGAGAUGGAAAGGGGGAGGCUUUCCCUUGGCUUUAUUGAUGAUAACGAGCCGUCGGCUCUCCUGUUGUCGUGGAGGUGGUGUGCGCGGUGUGGUGUCUGGGACCGCGUGUGCCUCUUGUUGCCUCUGCCCAUGCGUGCCUUGUGUGUCUCUGCCGCAUCUUGCCCCCGGCUUCCCCAUUGUGAUUGGCUUUAC
rnacentral:lncRNA from 1 species